rnacentral:tRNA from 3 species
GCAGAGGUAUCGAAGCCUGGUCAAACGAGAGGGACUCAAGAUCCCUUCUCUUAGGAGUUCGUGGGUUCAAAUCCCACCCUCUGCA